CAGUGUAAUGGUAUUUCCCGCGGUUAUUUUUGUACAAUAAAAUACGGUAUAACUACAAUUUUGCAAAGUCUCAAUCAGUUUUCCAAGCAAGUCAAUACAUGCAAUAACAAAAAAAAUUUGGGACAAGACAAUGUUUAAAAAACGUGAUCAAAGAAAAGAAAAGAAAAUGUACUUGUAAUCAACACUGGAGAAAAAUGGACUCUUCAGAAGAAAUUGUCACAUGGAAAUGUCUUGGGCAGAUUAAAAAGAAGAAGUAACUGUGCCAGGAAGCAGUUCCAGUCAUUUGCAGCAACAGGACUGUGAUGAAUAGAACUUUAAUAUGAAUUGAAUCAAAAUAUAGAAUUUAACAAAUUUGUGUCAGAUGAUAUACUCUUAUGAUGCUAUUGAAGGACAUCAAUGAUGAGAAAGAAGUAAAGGAAAAGACAAUAAAUGACAGCAUAUCAAAUAUCACAAUGUAUAUUAAGUCAGUUAAUACAUUGUUUCAACUACAUACUUUACAGCAUUUCAUUUUAACCAUGUGUGAAUUUUGUCUAUUCAAACUUAACCAAAUGCUUUAAAAUUAAGAUAUUGAAUAUUUUAGGCAGACAUGUUUUCGUAUUUUUUCAUUUAUUUUUCAAACUUUCAAGUUAUUACAUUCUUCAGUGGCGGAUCCAGCCAAAAGCCCAUUUUUCAAAGGGGUUUUCCAACCAAGGAUAAAGGAGGGAUUCUAAUCGUGUCUUUCAUUUUUAAAUUGUUAAUUUCCACAAUAAAAAUAAAACAUAUAAGCCAAAGAUAAAAAAAU